AACCUAGCACACCUGCGGUGUGUACCUGCGGAGGGAUCAUUACCUAGAGUUGUAGGCUUUGCCUGCUAUCUCUUACCCAUGUCUUUUGAGUACCUUACGUUUCCUCGGUGGGUUCGCCCGCCGGUUGGACAAAACUUAAACCCUUUGUAGUUGCAAUCAGCGUCUGAAAAAACUUAACAGUUACAACUUUCAACAACGGAUCU
rnacentral:misc_RNA from 1 species